UUAAACUUUUCUUCUUUCCCAUCAAUCUGAUGAUUUCAGAACUCGGUUUUUCACAAUAAUGUAGCAGGCUAUCUAACUCAAUUCCACAGAAAAUGGAGGCAAAACAAGUUCUGCCUCAGCAGGAAUAGGUCCUUUUGGGUUGCUGGCCAGUCAGUGUCGGUUCCAGUGGAGGACCCCUGCGUCGCUGGAAUCUCCCUCUCGGCAUCUAACGUCAUAGCACCAGGAGGAAGCAAGCUGAACUCACCUCUGAAAGAUCUCAGCCUGACCAGCUUGUCCCUGGAAUGAAUCUCAGCAACCAUACAGGUGUCACGGGAAAAACAGUGCCCAUCACCUUUGUAGCUGAGCAUCUUGCAGCACCCCAGUGAGAAAGCUGUUAGCACCUUGGACAGAGACCUAAAGCACAGAAACAAUAUUCUCUGGAGACUCUUUUCAAGAAUUUGUUUGCACUGUGACCUUUAGCAAAUAUAGUAUCCAUAUUGUCCAAAUAAAUAUUGAUAACCAGCCACUAUAAUGGUUUGAGGUCAAAGAAGAAUACAGAUUUUUUUUUGCGAUCUGGAACUACUUUUGCCUUUAAACAGUAUACUUUAGUUGAACAAUUUACAACGCAAAAGAAAUGGAAUAUCUGGAGUGUGGUUACAAACAACUACUCUGGUCCACCCCUGAAGCAUAUGGUAUGAUGGCAGGUACAGAGCUAACUUAUGGUCCUGGAGAUUCCUUCAUGCAACCAAACUUGUUGAAAUACGUCAAUCAAAAACAGAGUUCCAGUUAGAUAAGAGUUUUAUGGGAGACACUGGACCAUUUUGUACACAGUAUACUGAUCACGUACUGAACUCCCCAAAAAGAUGAUACAGUGCCAAUCUAGCUAACUAUAACUGCAAAA